GCUGUAACUUCCAGAGUGAGUAACUCCUGCAAGGAAAUCGUUACUGGGCUCUGCUGUCACGGGCUAUUUUGGGACCUGUGGUCUCUGCAACAGAAUUUCAAACCUUUGUUACCCCAUGCAUCAUUAGCAGAUCUGUGUGGUUGUCUUUAAAGGCACAAAAAAAAAAAAAAAAAAAAAAAGUAGUAAAUAUUAAACACCACAAAGCAAAGCCAAGUUCUUGAAUAAUAACUGAGAACAAAGGAAAAUGAGAUCAAACAAAUACAAUUUUCAAUAAAUGGCCCAGAUAUUCACAGGGGAAUCUCUGCAAUACUUUCUCCUGAAUCAAUGCCCUGAUUUAAAUCACCAUUCUUCACACACAGGCUUUCUUUUUCCUCAUUCAGCUUCGAAUUUGGUCAUUAGUUAUUGGAACCAAGUGCAUUUUGGCAAUUUUAGUAUUAAAAAACAUCCAAAUGUUCCUUGGAUUCCCAGCAAAAGAAGGUCCAGCCCCACAUUCUUACCAGGAAUAUUUUUACUGGCCAGCCCAUGAAUGUGCUGCAAAUGGGAAUUCCAAAUAAAUCAGUCUCAGAUUCCCUAAAAGCACCAAUUUUCUAGGAACUGGAAACUGAUAGUGACAAUUCACAGGGAAUUACAAAAUCAUUUCCCACCAAAAAAAAGGGGAAAUCCUAAUUCUGGGGGUGAAAGCAUUCCAUAGGGUGAAUCCAUACAUGUCCAUAGCUGCUCCUGGGAUCUGGCUAAUUGUAAACCUGGAAGAAAAUUGCUGUGAUUAACUGAGGAGCUGGGAUGGACUGGGAGGGAGCAGGCAUGGGACCAGCAAUUUGUUUGGAGAAGAUAAACCAGCCCAUGAUUUCUCCCUGCCAGCAGAACCUGCCAUUUCCAGCAUGCCCAUAAUAUUUUGUCCUUAAAAACUUGUUACACACACAAAAAAAACUUGUUCAAUAUGGAAAACUGGCCUAAAGAAGGUAAUGCAAGAGAAACAUUCCCAAAAAAUUUUAUGAGGCUUUCAAAUGUUCUGCUGCUCAGUUAUAAAAGGUUUCCAUAGGAACUGUCACCCAACGUGCUGUGCCUGAUUUCUCCAUGUUCAGAGUGAAAAAAAUCCAUCCCCUUCCUGUUUUCCAGGUUCCCUGGCUGAGGUUUUUUGCCUUGUUUAUGGAGAUUUUCUUGGCUCAGCUGCAAUAGAAAUAAAUGAUUAAGGAGGUUUUUAUUAUUAUUUUGCAGCAAUUAGAUCAUGUUAAUUACUCAACCUUUAAUCCUGCAUGCGAUUUGCACUAAUUAUGCCAAGAGAAUGGAUAUUAGGAGCAAUUUUGUGGAAGUGACAGAAUGUUGGAGAAGUGAAAAGAAGGAUAUUAAACUCUCUGACUGCAUUCCCAGUUUCCUGCUGCUGGUGCCAGCCCAUCUCGGGGUGUCUGCCCAAUUUCAUUACCUCAGUGCAAUGGAAGAGUCUUAAAAUUGGAAAAAUCCACCAGUGUUAGCCCAACUGGAAAUCCCUGGCAGUCUGAUGGUUCAACUGGAUUUAAGGAAAGACCACCAGUUUUGUCAGGAUCUUGCACAGUUUUUCCUGCAAAGUGGAUUUUUUUUUUCCCACCUGUGAAAAGUGCUGACUUGGCAGUUUUGGGGCUGUUCCCUUUCUCCAUGGAGCUGCUCCAGAGGCAGGUGAAGGUGGGUGGAAGGAUUCCCUCUGCCCUGUGCCCUUGGCCAGCACAUUCCCUUCCCUGCUGUCACUGCUGUUGUCCCAGAGAGGCAAUCCCAGCAGAGGGCACUUGCUAGGGCACUGCUGACCUGCUGGAUUUGCCAGUGCCAGCUCCAAAAACCUCCAGCAAACCAGAGCAAACCAGGAUUGCUCCUUCCCAGGGCAGCUCCCAGCACGGAAACAAGCCCAGGGAUCAUUUUUUCCACAGGAUUUAGAAGAGGCCGCUCAGAUCUGAAGAAAACCUCCAGAUUUAAGAUGUGUUCUGCCUCUGCCAUCACAUUCCCACCCCUCUGCUCACAGCGUGGCUGUUCCAUAGGGGUAUCCGUGAUCCCAUGGGAUCUUCUCCCGAGGAGGAACCAGCAGUGCUUCUGAGCAAGGGCUGGCACUCACCCCAGCUGUGUCUGGCACCUCACUGACGAGGCAGGGCUUGGAGAAGCUCAUUCUUGGACUGCAGUGUCCAAAUUCCACUGCAGCCUUGGCUCCAGGAACGCCAGCCCUUCUGGGCCAAGGUCCUUCCGUGCUCAGCGCAGAGCACAAAGCACAAAAUCAUCACCUCUCCUCAGCCCUAGGGCUGCCAGGCAGGAAUAUGAAAUAUUCC
ensembl:lncRNA